AUUGAACGCUGGCGGCAGGCCUAACACAUGCAAGUCGAGCGGAUGAAGGGAGCUUGCUCCUGGAUUCAGCGGCGGACGGGUGAGUAAUGCCUAGGAAUCUGCCUGGUAGUGGGGGAUAACGUCCGGAAACGGGCGCUAAUACCGCAUACGUCCUGAGGGAGAAAGUGGGGGAUCUUCGGACCUCACGCUAUCAGAUGAGCCUAGGUCGGAUUAGCUAGUUGGUGGGGUAAAGGCCUACCAAGGCGACGAUCCGUAACUGGUCUGAGAGGAUGAUCAGUCACACUGGAACUGAGACACGGUCCAGACUCCUACGGGAGGCAGCAGUGGGGAAUAUUGGACAAUGGGCGAAAGCCUGAUCCAGCCAUGCCGCGUGUGUGAAGAAGGUCUUCGGAUUGUAAAGCACUUUAAGUUGGGAGGAAGGGCAGUAAGUUAAUACCUUGCUGUUUUGACGUUACCAACAGAACAAGCACCGGCUAACUUCGUG
rnacentral:rRNA from 1 species